rnacentral:rRNA from 1 species
GAUGAACGCUGGCGGCGUGCUUAACACAUGCAAGUCGAACGGUGAACGAGGGAGCUUGCUCCCUCCGGAUCAGUGGCGAACGGGUGAGUAACACGUGAGCAAUCUGCCCUGGACUCUGGGAUAAGCGUUGGAAACGACGUCUAAUACCGGAUACGAGGCGUGGGGGCAUCCCCAACGCCUGGAAAGAACUUCGGUCCAGGAUGAGCUCGCGGCCUAUCAGCUUGUUGGUGAGGUAACGGCUCACCAAGGCGACGACGGGUAGCCGGCCUGAGAGGGUGACCGGCCACACUGGGACUGAGACACGGCCCAGACUCCUACGGGAGGCAGCAGUGGGGAAUAUUGCACAAUGGGCGAAAGCCUGAUGCAGCAACGCCGCGUGAGGGACGACGGCCUUCGGGUUGUAAACCUCUUUUAGUAGGGAAGAAGCGAAAGUGACGGUACCUGCAGAAAAAACACCGGCUAACUACGUGCCAGCAGCCGCCGUAAUAC